rnacentral:rRNA from 1 species
AGGGGAUAUUGGAUCGCUUGGGUGCUGAUGCUGGCCUCUUCGCGGAGGCAUGUGCUCGCAUUCAAACUAUUUAUCUUCUCUUGUGCACCUUUUGUAGUCUUUGGAACGCUCUCCGCUGAAAAUGCGGGUUGGGAGGCAAUGGAUUCACGUCUGUGCCUCUGGUUUCGAAGACUAUGUUUUCAUAUACCUUUAGUAUGUUAUAGAAUGUCAUCUUAGUGGCUUCGGCCAUUAUAACCUUAUACAACUUUCAACAACGGAUCUCUUGGCUCUCCCAUCGAUGAAGAACGCAGCGAAAUGCGAUAAGUAAUGUGAAUUGCAGAAUUCAGUGAAUCAUCGAAUCUUUGAACGCACCUUGCGCCCUUUGGUAUUCCGAAGGGCAUGCCUGUUUGAGUGUCAUUAAAUUAUCAACCUAGAAAGCUUUUGCUCUUCUACGGCUUGGACUUGAAGGCUUUGCUGGCUUCCCUCCUUGGAAUGGUCUGCUCCCUUUAAAUGCAUUAGUGGGAUCUCCCUGUAGCCGGUCUCUCGGUGUGAUAAUUAUCUGCACUGUUUGUACUUACAGAAUGAGGACCUGCUUCUAACCGUCCUUCAGUUGGACAACUUUCCUUUUAAUUUGACCUCAAAUCAGGUAGGACUACCCGCUGAACUUAAGCAUUUA